GGAGGGAGAGUAAGAAGUUGGGCUAUAAAAGGAGGGUUCUGCAGGUCUUCACAUCUUCUCAGAUCUGCAGAUCUCCUCUCACACGGUCGAUUAAAAAAAGUCUGUUUUUCUCUGUGUUUAUGAUGCGGCUUUAUAGAGCUCUGAUCCUGUUAAUGAUUCUGUCCACAGCAUGUGGAUUAAGAUGCUACUCAUGUGUAACCACCAACCCCAAAGCCUGCACACGCAUCUCGCUUUGUCCUGGACCCUUGGAUCGCUGUUUUUCCACCAUGGUGGAUGGUCAUAUCACUAAGGGUUGUCGAAGAAAUCAGUACUGUAUAAAACCCAUUUCUUGCUGUGGGGAUGACUUGUGUAACAGUGCCAUACCCGCCAGCGGCAGUGUCAUCCUCCUGCUGGUGUCCUCAGCCAUCACCACACUGUUUCUCUGAGGCUCUGCAACAGCUACAGCUGAGAAUAUUUUACUUCUUUUCUUACUAAAUUUGUAUUACUCAAGAACAAUAACAUAUUAAGCCGCAUAACUAAAUGAAUUAAAACCACAAUAUGAUCGACAAUUAAUUUGUUUAAUUCCUGUUCUUCCUGUUAUAUCACUAUUUACAGCUAUUUUCUAUUGGUUUUUAAUGUGUUAGGGUUAGGGUUAAGGUUACUUUUUACACUUAUCACUGCAAAAUGCUCAUGUCUUUCUGUCAGACUUAUAAACUAGAUCAACUACUGUGAGAAAAUUAAUUGCCCCAGUAUUUUAACAUUGAUAAUGUUUUAUCAUUUGUACAUAGAUUUUAAAAUGCCCAAUGCAAAAUAUCAGAUUUUACUGUAGUUAUCAGUUCUAUUAAGUGAACAUUAGUAGUCACAGCUGUGAGGAAAAAACCCUAUUCUCUCUUUAUUUACUUACUGAACCCCUAUGUGAAUUCAGGUGAUGAUGCUCUAUAAUAUCUUUUACGUGCACACAGAGAAUACAGUCACACACAACCUUUAGGUAAAUGUGAAAGUCCCAUUCUAUCUCUAAUACAGACAGUCCUCUCUUUUGCAACAUUUUAGAUAUACAGAGAUACAAAACACCAGACCAAAGUCAACUGAUUGGGACCUGAGACACUCAUAUCCAACCAUUUCCCAGAAAAAGAUGCUUCACCCCAUCUGUGAACAUACAAGCCAGGACAUCUUGACACAGCCAAGAACAAAGUCAGGAAGUCAGAUUACAAAGGCGAAAACACUUCUUUUUGAUCACAAAUCAUCAUUUCCUCCUCCAUAAAGCCUCAUUUGUAUCACAACAAAGAGAUUUAAUCUGCAGUAUGAAUCAAGGACUUCUUAAUAUACCACCGAGUCUGUAAUUUGCCCUCGAAAGCCAAAAAAAGGAGCAUAGAUCUAAAUUAAAGCUCUUAUGUCCUCAAAGGUCAGUGCAUUUCUUGUCAACAAAUUUGAACUUCUGUAACACAGCUUGCACACAACAAUGGCAAGACACAAGCAUAACUUGUUAAAUGUUAAGUGUCCAUAAAUACAGACUAUACACAUGCUUGUAAGCUGAAAUACCAAUACAUACUAAUCAGCUCCAUCUCAGAUACAAUGCUGUCUGCAGUGCAUAUAUUUUAUAGGCUGGUAGUUCACAUUCAAACAAAUAUCUGAGUAAUGUUUUUUGAACACACAUGAAGAUGGUAUAUCGACAAGUGGUUAAAAUUAUACUGACGACGACGUGUUUAACUAGCUAACACUGACGUUAGCCACCACGGUAGUUAACGUUAAUGUAGCUAGCUAACAUUCACGUUAGUUUGUUAGUUAGAAGUGAUUUUCAACGAGUGAACCAUGACCCAACACCAAUCCACACAGUUUAGAGUCGUCACUAUUUUUCCACCCUCCGUCUAUCAGCACUGGACACUUUGCUGACCCUCCUAAACACAUACCUCCAAAUAGCAUAUCUCCACCGCCAGCCACCAAAAAUACAAAAUUAGACAGUUACACAUUUAAAUAAGUUCAUUUUUCAGUUUCAUUUCUCUCUGUCUGUCCCCAUACAUUCACCGGGACAGGUGUUAAAUCACAAAAACAGAAGUGGAAUUAAGUAAAUUAAUGCUUAUUUUAUCUGUUUAAUUUUCAUUUUGAGAUGUUACUAUGACUAAAUGCAUUUCUUGGAAGUAAGUCCCUCACCAGUCAAACGUGUUUUUCUUAUUGUUGCUUCACUUGGAUGUUUGAGCUUCACUUCACUUCAGUUCUUCUGUUAGAGGGAAAAAGUUUCUCUGUGCUCACCUUAAAUCUCUACAAUAUACCCAAAUAUGAUGUGGAAACAUACAAUGGACUUUUCAGUGAAGUAGGACACAUCCUGUAUCCAUAAUCAUAGAUUCUGGAUUUUUGAAUAAGUGACAAUAAUAUGGAAAAUAAUAUAACACCCAGCGUCUCGAGAUAACAGCGUCUCGAGAUAACUUCUGUUGUGAAUUGGCGCUAUAUAAAUAAAAUUUGACUUGACUUGAAUAAAUUAUAUUAAAAAGUUUAUUUUUAUGUCUGGAAAGGAUGUGUCCAAGUGAGUUUCCUCUAACCCACCCACACUAUGUAUAUGGGUCUUCCAUAUUGUUGAAAAGCGUAAGAGAGAGACCAUGUGCAUAAACAGUAUGUACAGAAAGACAGACAGCCAUGUAAGAGAAAUUUGUGCAGAGCUGGAAUGAAGUGAAGGGCGUGUUUUUUUCAUCCAGCUUUUUUUUUUUUUUUUUUUUUUUUUUUGUGGCUGACAGCAGAGAUAUGCUACUCUGAGGUAUAUAGUUGGGAGGGGCAGUAAGGUGUUCACUGCUGAUAGUCAGAGGGAGGAUGGUCAGUUUUGAUACUCUGCAAAAAAAAAAAAAAAAAAAAAAAUGACAUGUGGCUAAACUAAAAGCAAAUUUCUGAUCAGACCAUCACUGCUGGUGCUGGCAGGAGGUUGGCAGAUGUAUGUCGGGGGUCAGGGUGGGGCCACACAUGUAGCACUAUCCCAAGCAUUUACAGUGAAGUGUACUUGGGUGCCAGUAGUGUAUCUUUGCGUCCCAUAGUCAACACUGCAUAGACUGGUACAGGGUCUCGACCCAGUCAUUGGAAAUCACUGCAUUAGAGGAGCAGUUAAACUGUUGUUUUAGAGUGCAGUGAGCCACAGUGUGUCAUAAAAUACAAUUUAAUAAUGUUAGGAGUAGCUCAUGUCACACUUUCUGCCCUGGAGUAGUAUAGGUAUCUACUAAGCUUUUCAGUCAUGUUUGAAGGAUGAAGCAGGACAUGAUUUGCCUAAGCUAUGCAUAAGACUACUCCAGGUACUGAUGCUUUCUUAACAGAGAACAUAAGACAUGUACUUAAUAGAUGCUGUAACACACACAAAAAAAAUUGAACUUAUUUUUAAUUGUUGUUGCAUGUGCACAAAAACCUGCUGCCCAGCUGGAUGAACAAUAAAGAAUAUCAUGCCAAA